UACGUAGGGGGCUAGCGUUGUCCGGAAUCAUUGGGCGUAAAGCGCGUGUAGGCGGCCCGGUAAGUCCGCUGUGAAAGUCGGGGGCUCAACCCUCGGAUGCCGGUGGAUACUGUCGGGCUAGAGUCCGGAAGAGGAAAGUGGAAUUCCUGGUGUAGCGGUGAAAUGCGCAGAUAUCAGGAAGAACACCAAUGGCGAAAGCAGCUUUCUGGGACGGUACUGACGCUGAGACGCGAAAGCGUGGGGAGCGAACAGG
rnacentral:rRNA from 1 species